ACGGGUGAGUAACGCGUGAGAAUCUAACUUCAGGACGGGGACAACAGUUGGAAACGACUGCUAAUACCCGAUGUGCCGCAAGGUGAAACCUAAUUGGCCUGGAGAAGAGCUUGCGUUUGAUUAGCUAGUUGGUGGGGUAAAGGCCUACCAAGGCGACGAUCAUUAGCUGGUUUGAGAGGAUGAGCAGCCACACUGGGACUGAGACACGGCCCAGACUCCUACGGGAGGCAGCAGUGGGGAAUUUUCCGCAAUGGGCGAAAGCCUGACGGAGCAACGCCGCGUGAGGGAGGAAGGUCUUUGGAUUGUAAACCUCUUUUCUCAAGGAAGAAGUUCUGACGGUACUUGAGGAAUCAGCCUCGGCUAACUCCGUGCCAGCAGCCGCGGUAAUACGGGGGAGGCAAGCGUUAUCCGGAAUUAUUGGGCGUAAAGCGUCCGCAGGUGGUCAGCCAAGUCUGCCGUCAAAUCAGGUUGCUUAACGACCUAAAGGCGGUGGAAACUGGCAGACUAGAGAGCAGUAGGGGUAGCAGGAAUUCCCAGUGUAGCGGUGAAAUGCGUAGAGAUUGGGAAGAACAUCGGUGGCGAAAGCGUGCUACUGGGCUGUAU
rnacentral:rRNA from 1 species